GUUGUUCUCGUGCUGUUAUCAUGAAAACAAGUAUGGUAGGUGGCCAUUUUGGUGAAGGUGGUCGCUAUGCUCAGUGCGAUGAAACAGCUUAUGAAUAUGCUUUCUUCAUGAAAGCUUUUGGAAUGUUAAAUGAAUAAGUUAAUCUAUUAGGCCAGCUGCAGCUAGGUUAUUUUCAUCAGUGGAAGACUUGCCAUGGAAAAAAGGACGAGUUCUUUCAAUCCUCAUAGUUAGUGUACAGUUUUUUUCCCUCCUAUUUUGAUUCUCCGGUGUCAUUCUUCGAAGGUAAAUGUUUUCAAAUGCUAUAAAGUGUGUCACUGCUCAAUGAUUCUUGUUAUAUUUUAUCAAAGAAAGGUAAUUGGAUGCGCACGCCCUAGUUAACAGGAGUUGCUGUUUUGGGAUAGGGAAAUGAGGAGACUCACAUGUUGUUAGAAACUCAUGCUCAUGACAUUAUAAAAUUUGCAUUGUUUGAACUUGUUAUGUAGUGACUUCCUAUUGAUCAAGUGAACUUGUUAUGUACUUGACUCUUGCAAUGUUAUGAGCAAGGAUAUGGGCUUCAUUGAUUCGGGAUUGCAGACUGAGCACAAUGACUUAGGGGGCCAAAAUGAUCAUGAUUAAACCUAAGAAGUGGAAUUACUAUAUUUCCAUUAGGUAUAGAAGAUUGAUGGCUCACUAGUUUGUUUUUGAGUAUGUUCGGAAUGAUCUAGAAUAAGCGUGGCUAUAUAAGAUCUUGUAGUUUCUCUAUCAUUACAAUCAAUGAAAUUAUUCAUAUCUCUUGUUUAUCUCUCUAUU
rnacentral:lncRNA from 1 species